rnacentral:tRNA from 1 species
GGGGUUGUGGCUCAGUGGUAGAGUGCUUGCCUCGCAUGCAUGAGGCAUUGGGUUCAAUCCUCAGUACCACA